AUGCGGAUUCCACGUGGAGGCCGCCGCCCGCCGCCGAGUCUCCACCACCUCCUCCUCCUCCUCGCCGCCCUCUGUUUCGCUGCCCUGAAAACCGCCGCCGCCGCUCCCAGAACAGCAGGAGGCACCGAAGAAGGAGGAGGCGGCAUCGCCAGCGUCACCGGCGGCAUCAUGACAUGGGCCACGUGGCCACCAAAAUGCGCAUGGUUACCCUUGCGAACGAGUGGGAAGAGUCACUCAUAUAAUCUUGUUUCCAAAUACCACAAGAUUUGGAAGGGCACGAAGGAUGCUAUUUCUGCAAAAGAUAUUUCGAGAAAAGAACCAGUAGGCGGUGUGAUUGCCUUGAAGGAGUCCAUGAAGUACUUCGAUGCUGAUUUUUUCAACGAUUCAAAACUAUGUGAGAUGGAAAACGGCGCAAAAGAAUUUAAUGUGCCUGCAUUUAGAGAAAACCGAAGGUUGGUGGCUAUAAAGGAUGGUGGAUUGCAUGACCCUUCUGUUCUAGUCUUCAAAUCAUCAUGGAGUUGGAGUAGCAAAAGCAAAGUCAAGGAGAGUGAAAUGUUCGACUAUCCUCAAACCUCUAUGCCACAGCGUCCUAGUAAUGAUGAAGAUAUUGCCUUUAUGUCGAUAAUUGAGCUUGGGGAGCUUAUUAGGACAAAGAAAAUAACAUCACGUGAACUUACUGAUGUAUUUUUAAGGAGAUUAAAAAGGUAUGGUACUGUUCUUGAAUCUGUUAUUACAUACACUGAAGAUUUAGCAUACAAGCAAGCAAAAGAGGCAGAUGACUUGCUGGAGCAAGGAAAAUACCUUGGUCCCCUGCAUGGCAUUCCAUAUGGCCUGAAAGAUAUAAUUGCAGUACCAGAAUACAAUACAACUUGGGGCUCAAAGACAUUCAAGAAUCAAGUUAUUGAUAUGGAAGCUUUUGUAUACAAAAGAUUGAAGUCCGCUGGGGCAGUCCUUGUAGCGAAGCUUGUGACAGGUUCACUCGCCUAUGAUGAUAUAUGGUUUGGGGGAAGAACACGAAACCCAUGGAACAUCGAGGAAUUUUCUACUGGUUCAUCAGCAGGGCCAACAGCUAGCACCAGUGCAGGACUGGUUCCCUUUGCAAUUGGUUCGGAAACGGCAGGAUCCAUAACAUAUCCUGCUGCUAGAUGUGGAGUAACUGCUUUGCGCCCAUCAUUUGGAACAGUUGCACGGACCGGCGUCAUGAGCCUUUCCGAGAGUCUGGACAAACUUGGUCCUUUCUGCAGAAGCGCAGCAGACUGUGCUAUUGUAUUAGAUGCAAUCCGUGGCGCGGAUGCUGGUGAUCCCUCGUCUCGUGAAAUUGCUUUAGAGGACCCGUUUCAUGUCGACAUCACAAAACUUACUGUUGGAUAUCUUGACAGCGCUGAGAUGGAGGUUGUCAAGGUCCUUUCUGCCAAGGGUGCUAAGCUUGUGCCUUUCAAGUUGAACUACAACGUCGAAUCAGUUCAGUUCAUUCUAAACAUCACGAUGGACGUCGAUAUGCUUGCACAUUUUGACAACUGGCAACGCGAAGGACACGACGAUGACUACGAAGCUCAAGACCAGUGGCCGGUGGAGCUCCGUCGCGCACGAUUGGUCCCAGCAGUCGACUAUGUACAGGCACAGAGAGCGCGAGGUAGGCUGAUCAGGGAGGUCCAGGAGAGCUUCACGGUUGACGCGUUCAUCGGCAACGCGACCGACUGGGAGCUCGUUUGUCUGGGAAACCUCGUGGGGUUGCCCAUCGUCGUGGUGCCUACGGGCUUCAAGAGCAUCGAACACCCACCAAAAGGCAACACGAGGAGACGAACCACAGUGACGACGGGCAUAUAUGCUCCCCCUGACCAUGACCACAUUGCUCUAGCGUUGGCGAUGGCGUACCAGUCCGUCACCGAUCACCACAAACAACGGCCACCGAUUGACGCAAACUAG
rnacentral:rRNA from 1 species